AUAUCUUCGUGAAAGAAGACUUGACCGAAACGGAGAGACCAUUCCAAUAGAAGGAGAAGAAAAGUUGUGCUUUAGGGAUUUCGUCUCCUUCAGUUAUCAAAUUGCUCGUGGAAUGGAAUAUUUGUCAGGAAGAAAGUGUAUUCAUCGCGAUCUUGCUGCCAGGAAUAUUUUAGUUGGUGAAGAUAGAGUAAUGAAAAUUGCAGACUUUGGUUUAGCUCGCGACAUUCAUCAGAUUGACUAUUACGGCAAAACAACUGACGUAUGUAUUCUGUGAAAUUGUGCCAUUAAUCCUGAUAAAUAAUUUUUAAGAAUAUGAAAACAUUUUUUGUCUUUAUGGAUUUUAUUGUUUUCGUAAAGAAACUUCCUUGUAUAUGUAUAUUAUAGUAAAUUUUCUAUUUUUGUGCCUGAACUUCGAGUGGAAAUAUUUUUGUUUGAUAUCAUUGUAUUAUAAGACAUUUAUAAUUA